AAAUGAAAAGUACACAUGUGCUCCGAGAGACACACACAGGAAUAUUCAGAACCUUUUCUGUAAUAGCUAUAAACUGAAAGCAGCACAUGUCCAACAGGAAAAUGAAUAAACAAAUACAGCAUAUUCAUACAAUAGAAUCCUAUACAGAGCAACUAAAAUAACAGCUAGAGGCAACAACACGGAUGGAUCUUACAAGCCUGAUGUGGAACAAGAGAAGCCCAUUCAGAGACUAAGUGAAUGGAUUUAUGUGGUAUGCAAAAACAGGCAAAACCAAAUUAUAGUGUUUUGGGAGGUAUGCUUACAUAGUAAAGCUCUGAAGGAAAACAAAGAAAAGGCGACUAAAGAGAAUGACAACUUACGCAAUGCAGAAUCCUGGAUUGGAUCCUAGAUCCAAUCAACGUGUAGGGAUGCUGAUCCCACUCCAAGUCUAGAACAUCAUUCACAUCUUGGACAGCAAAUUUCACAUACUGAUGAAGGCGCCGAAUUUCCUAUAAGAAAAGAAUUAAAAGGCAAAUAACUUGUUUUUCUGAUA